rnacentral:rRNA from 1 species
GUGGGGAAUUUUGGACAAUGGGCGAAAGCCUGAUCCAGCAAUGCCGCGUGCAGGAUGAAGGCCUUCGGGUUGUAAACUGCUUUUGUACGGAACGAAAAGCCUCUGGUUAAUACCCGGGGGUCAUGACGGUACCGUAAGAAUAAGCACCGGCUAACUACGUGCCAGCAGCCGCGGUAAUACGUAGGGUGCGAGCGUUAAUCGGAAUUACUGGGCGUAAAGCGUGCGCAGGCGGUGAUGUAAGACAGUUGUGAAAUCCCCGGGCUCAACCUGGGAACUGCGUCUGUGACUGCAUUGCUGGAGUGCGGCAGAGGGGGAUGGAAUUCCGCGUGUAGCAGUGAAAUGCGUAGAUAUGCGGAGGAACACCGAUGGCGAAGGCAAUCCCCUGGGCCUGCACUGACGCUCAUGCACGAAAGCGUGGGGAGUAAACAGGAUUAGAAACCCCGGUAGUCC